CAGCUCGGUGAUGUCUUGAUUUGGUCUGGGAUUCUGCACUUAGUAAUUGCAGACAAUACUCAUGUGGUGCCAAGGAAAAAGAAAUUUGGCAUUUUCCAGUUCAAUAAGUCUAAACAAACCACAUCACUUUACAUCAAGUAGAUCAUGUUUUACCAGAAUUUUCCAGUUUGGCAGUCUAUCUUGAUCAAAUCAACUAAAUUAUUGCCACUGUGGCUAUCUGUGAAAGAACACAAUUAAAAAAAUCUGGUGCCUUAUCUUAUACUCAGGUAACACAUCUCCUAGAGAUGGUGAAAUACACCAUUCUGCUGAGUCAGAGUGAUUUCCUCCCUCCUUUACUUGGGAGUGGGUCUGUGAUGCACAGUGACACUCUGGCAGACAUAGACUAUAUUUUGAUGUGUCUGUCUUAGUUCAUCUAAAGUUAAACUUAUUCCUUAAGAAUGGGUCCCAAAUUUUCUGCACCUCGCUGUGGUCUCUGCAGUCAUUCACUAAGGAAAAAUUAUUUAUUCACUGUUUGACACAUCUGGUUUCUAGACCUUGUCUAGAUAGACCUUGUCUGGAUGGUGAUUAACAAGUUUGACCAAGAGCCACAGCCCUGUUCUGUUUCUUCGUCCAUUGUUUCAUCUCUGAAACACUUGAACUUCAUCCUUGAAGGCACCAAGCUAUCACAUUGGUGCCUCACAUCUGAAAGUUGGAUAAAAGACAGUAAAGGUCCUGUGUACCUUUACCAUUUUUACCUCAAUGACCUGCUUUUGCAGGCAAAUGUGCAGUAGCUUUAAGCCAGUAUCUUGAAAGUGGGGUGCAUAUAAUGAUCAAUUGAGAUGAAAGACAAAUAUUAUAACAUGUUUAUAUUUAUUUUUAUCUUUAAAAAAUGAAAAAAUGCUGUUUCCUCAUAUUUUAACACUCUCAUUGGGGCUGUCUGUUGAAUGAGCACAUAUCAUGUACAGUAGGCAUAGUACCCUCCAGAAAGAAUGAGAGGUUCCUGGAGCAGAGGGAAGUAUCCACCCUUUUUUCCCUUUCAAGGUGUUGUAACAUAUUGCAUUUUGUUGGUUCUUGGUUAAGUGGGUUUAGGAUUAUAUAAUUUAAAUUAGGGGUCGGCCAACUAUGUUCCCUGAGCCAAAUCUGGCCUGCUGCCUAUCUUUGCAAAUGAAGUUUUACUGGAGCACAGCAUGCUCAUU
rnacentral:lncRNA from 1 species